rnacentral:ncRNA from 1 species
AAAAAUGUGAUGAACAAAACAAGUACACGUACGAAAGCCAUACAGAGAGUGUAAGUCACCGGCUGAAAGCUUACACCGCCGCUGGGGUACGAUGGAAUGCCUUUGGGAGCAGGAUAAUCGAAAAGAGAGUAGAUUAUUUCGGAAAACCACCGUUAUCGGUUUUGAGUGAUAAUAUCAGUCAGUUUUAUGAUAUUGUAAUCAGAGUGGAACCACGGACCACCGUCUCUGUA